rnacentral:misc_RNA from 1 species
GAAAUGCGAUAAGUAGUGUGAAUUGCAGAAUUCAGUGAAUCAUCGAAUCUUUGAACGCACAUUGCGCCCUUUGGUAUUCCUUAGGGCAUGCCUGUUCGAGCGUCAUUUGUAACCUCAAGCUCAGCUUGGUGUUGGGUGUCUGUCCCCGCCCCGCGCGGGGACUCGCCUCAAAAACAUUGGCGGCCGGUACGUUGGCUUCGAGCGCAGCAGAAACGCGAACUCGAGGCCCGACGGAUCGGCGACCAGAAGUCACUUCUUCCACAGCUUGACCUCGGAUCAGGUAGGGAUGCCCGCUGAACUUAAGC